CUCUGAGGGAGGCUGUCCUGGCAGGCACUUAGCAGCAGCCUGGGGUCUUCAGCAGCUCCCUCGCUUCGCGGGUCGCCGGCAGGACCUCGAUGCCUUGCGUGUCGCUGUCUGGAUCUCGAUGCCUCGCGUGACACCAGCAG